AGGUGUUCUCGGUGACCCCCACUAAGCUCCCUGAUUCAUCUUCACAUGGUCUGUUGUUGAAGCUCUCCAGGGAAUUUUUCAGGAGAAUAAAAGUAUCCAACUAAGGAAUUUAAAGACCACUGGCCAAAUGAGACAUC